rnacentral:rRNA from 1 species
UACGUAGGGGGCUAGCGUUGUCCGGAAUCAUUGGGCGUAAAACGCGUGUAGGCGGCCCGGUAAGUCCGCUGUGAAAGUCGGGGGCUCAACCCUCGGAUGCCGGUGGAUACUGUCGGGCUUGAGUACGGAAGAGGCGAGUGGAAUUCCUGGUGUAGCGGUGAAAUGCGCAGAUAUCAGGAGGAACACCGAUUGCGAAGGCAGCUCGCUGGGACGUUACUGACGCUGAGACGCGAAAGCGUGGGGAGCAAACAGG